rnacentral:rRNA from 1 species
CCUACGGGGUGCUGCAGUGGGGAAUAUUGGACAAUGGGCGAAAGCCUGAUCCAGCCAUGCCGCGUGUGUGAAGAAGGCCUUCGGGUUGUAAAGCACUUUCAGUGGGGAAGAAAGCCUUGGGGCUAAUACCCUCGAGGAAGGACAUCACCCACAGAAGAAGCACCGGCUAACUCCGUGCCAGCAGCCGCGGUAAUACGGAGGGUGCGAGCGUUAAUCGGAAUUACUGGGCGUAAAGCGCGCGUAGGCGGUCUGAUAAGCCGGUUGUGAAAGCCCCGGGCUCAACCUGGGAACGGCAUCCGGAACUGUCAGGCUAGAGUGCAGGAGAGGAAGGUAGAAUUCCCGGUGUAGCGGUGAAAUGCGUAGAGAUCGGGAGGAAUACCAGUGGCGAAGGCGGCCUUCUGGACUGACACUGACGCUGAGGUGCGAAAGCGUGGGUAGCAAACAGGAUUAGAUACCCGAGUGUC